rnacentral:rRNA from 1 species
GAUGAACGCUAGCUACAGGCUUAACACAUGCAAGUCGAGGGGCAGCAUUUCAGUUUGCUUGCAAACUGGAGAUGGCGACCGGCGCACGGGUGAGUAACACGUAUCCAACCUGCCGAUAACUCGGGGAUAGCCUUUCGAAAGAAAGAUUAAUACCCGAUGGUAUAAUCAGACCGCAUGGUCUUGUUAUUAAAGAAUUUCGGUUAUCGAUGGGGAUGCGUUCCAUUAGGCAGUUGGUGAGGUAACGGCUCACCAAACCUUCGAUGGAUAGGGGUUCUGAGAGGAAGGUCCCCCACAUUGGAACUGAGACACGGUCCAAACUCCUACGGGAGGCAGCAGUGAGGAAUAUUGGUCAAUGGGCGCAGGCCUGAACCAGCCAAGUAGCGUGAAGGAUGACUGCCCUAUGGGUUGUAAACUUCUUUUAUAUGGGAAUAAAGUUUUCCACGUGUGGAAUUUUGUAUGUACCAUAUGAAUAAGGAUCGGCUAACUCCGUGCCAGCAGCCGCGGUAAUACGGAGGAUCCGAGCGUUAUCCGGAUUUAUUGGGUUUAAAGGGAGCGUAGGUGGACAGUUAAGUCAGUUGUGAAAGUUUGCGGCUCAACCGUAAAAUUGCAGUUGAUACUGGCUGUCUUGAGUACAGUAGAGGUGGGCGGAAUUCGUGGUGUAGCGGUGAAAUGCUUAGAUAUCACGAAGAACUCCGAUUGCGAAGGCAGCUCACUGGACUGCAACUGACACUGAUGCUCGAAAGUGUGGGUAUCAAACAGGAUUAGAUACCCUGGUAGUCCACACAGUAAACGAUGAAUACUCGCUGUUUGCGAUAUACAGUAAGCGGCCAAGCGAAAGCAUUAAGUAUUCCACCUGGGGAGUACGCCGGCAACGGUGAAACUCAAAGGAAUUGACGGGGGCCCGCACAAGCGGAGGAACAUGUGGUUUAAUUCGAUGAUACGCGAGGAACCUUACCCGGGCUUAAAUUGCAUUUGAAUAUAUUGGAAACAGUAUAGCCGUAAGGCAAAUGUGAAGGUGCUGCAUGGUUGUCGUCAGCUCGUGCCGUGAGGUGUCGGCUUAAGUGCCAUAACGAGUGCAACCCUUAUCUUUAGUUACUAACAGGUCAUGCUGAGGACUCUAGAGAGACUGCCGUCGUAAGAUGUGAGGAAGGUGGGGAUGACGUCAAAUCAGCACGGCCCUUACGUCCGGGGCUACACACGUGUUACAAUGGGGGGUACAGAAGGCAGCUACCUGGUGACAGGAUGCUAAUCCCAAAAGCCUCUCUCAGUUCGGAUCGAAGUCUGCAACCCGACUUCGUGAAGCUGGAUUCGCUAGUAAUCGCGCAUCAGCCAUGGCGCGGUGAAUACGUUCCCGGGCCU